UACGUAGGGGGCUAGCGUUGUCCGGAAUCAUUGGGCGUAAAGAGCGCGUAGGCGGCCCGGUAAGUCCGCUGUGAAAGUCCAGGGCUCAACCCUGGGAUGCCGGUGGAUACUGUCGAGCUCGAGUCCGGAAGAGGCGAGUGGAAUUCCUGGUGUAGCGGUGAAAUGCGCAGAUAUCAGGAGGAACACCAAUGGCGAAGGCAGCUCGCUGGGACGUGACUGACGCUGAGACGCGAAAGCGUGGGGAGCAAACAGG
rnacentral:rRNA from 1 species